rnacentral:rRNA from 1 species
UACGUAGGGUGCGAGCGUUGUCCGGAAUUACUGGGCGUAAAGAGCUCGUAGGUGGUUUGUCGCGUUGUCCGUGAAAACUCACAACUCAAUUGUGGGCGUGCGGGCGAUACGGGCAGACUGGAGUACUGCAGGGGAGACUGGAAUUCCUGGUGUAGCGGUGGAAUGCGCAGAUAUCAGGAAGAACACCAAUGGCGAAAGCAGCUUUCUGGGACGGUACUGACGCUGAGACGCGAAAGCGUGGGGAGCAAACAGG